rnacentral:rRNA from 1 species
CCUACGGGAGGCAGCAGUGGGGAAUAUUGCGCAAUGGGCGAAAGCCUGACGCAGCGACGCCGCGUGAGGGAUGAAGGUCUUCGGAUCGUAAACCUCUGUCAGCAGGGAAGAACGGUCACUGUGCUAAUCAGCAGUGAAUUGACGGUACCUGCAAAGGAAGCACCGGCUAACUCCGUGCCAGCAGCCGCGGUAAUACGGAGGGUGCGAGCGUUAAUCGGAUUUACUGGGCGUAAAGCGCGCGUAGGCGGUAUGUCAAGUCAAGGGUGAAAUCCCCGCGCUCAACGUGGGAACUGCCGUUGAAACUGGCAAACUGGAGUGUGGGAGAGGAUAGUGGAAUUCCAGGUGUAGGAGUGAAAUGCGUAGAUAUCUGGAGGAACAUCAGUGGCGAAGGCGACUAUCUGGCACAUAACUGACGCUGAGGAGCGAAAGCGUGGGUAGCAAACAGGAUUAGAUACCCUUGUAGUC